rnacentral:rRNA from 1 species
AUGCACCCACCAGUCUUGCAACUGCAGCUACAUCUCCCAAAUAUGCACAUGGUUUCAUAUCAUGGCAUGGAAAAAUUACAGAAUGUUAUCGACCGUGAAGACACGGAAAGAUCAAUGUUGACUGCGUACUUUGAAGCAAACAGAUGGUAUGCAAAAGCACGAGGCAUACUAUACAGAGAGUUUCCGGAACAUUAUACUUGGCAGAGUCAGGGGAAAUUUUGGCAACAGAGGAAGCGAGCCGCUGUGUUCCAGGUUGGCAGGAUCGUCUCAGCACACCCAGCUGAAGGAGAACGAUACUAUCUUCGAGUCCUCCUAAACCACGUGACAGGCGCCACCAGCUACAAAGACCUAUGA